rnacentral:lncRNA from 1 species
UUUGAUGUACGUAAUUGUGCCCCUACAAUGACGUGCGGCAGACAAAGGCGGACCGGCGGUCGGCGUCAGCCGGCAAGAUGUGGUGGACAACAUUGCCCCCCUCAGCUCCGUCUUCACCGACGUCCACAAGCUGCACUGCGUUCCCUUUUCGAGGAGGAGAAGACAAACACCUUUUUGCACACAAUGCUGUGUUGAUGACGCAACGAGAAAGAGACGGUGCCAAAAAUAUCAAUUUCCGGCCACCGACCUCUGCCGACG